rnacentral:rRNA from 1 species
UACGGGGGGUGCUAGCGUUGUUCGGAAUCAUUGGGCGUAAAGAGCGUGUAGGCGGCUGGAUAAGUCAGAUGUGAAAGCCCUGGGCUUAACCCAGGAAGUGCAUUUGAAACUGUUCAGCUUGAGUAAGGGAGAGGAAAGUGGAAUUCCUGGUGUAGAGGUGAAAUUCGUAGAUAUCAGGAGGAACACCGGUGGCGAAGGCGACUUUCUGGCCCUAUACUGACGCUGAGACGCGAGAGCGUGGGUAGCAAACAGGAUUAGAUACCCUGGUAGUCCACGCUGUAAACGAUGUUCACUAGGUGUUGGGGGUAUUGACCCUCUCAGUGCCGCAGCUAACGCAUUAAGUGAACCGCCUGGGGAGUACGGUCGCAAGAUUAAA